rnacentral:ribozyme from 1 species
GUGAGCUCCUCCUUUAAUGCGGUAGGAUCCGAGACUCCUUUCGGGGUCACACAGGCUCUCCUACACAACUUAUAUUCCGUCACGUCCUCGUCGAACAGAGUGGUGCUUGCCCCACCACAUAUCCAUGCUUGGGUACACGGGCUUGUCGCUCCUUUUGAGUGCUCGGACCAAUUAAAUCGCCUCGA